rnacentral:rRNA from 1 species
AACCAGCACCUCAAGUGGUCAGGAGGAUUAUUGGGCCUAAAGCAUCCGUAGCCGGCUCUGUAAGUUUUCGGUUAAAUCCAUAUGCUCAACAUAUGGGCUGCCGAAAAUACUGCAGAGCUAGGGAGUGGGAGAGGUAGACGGUACUCAGUAGGAAGGGGUAAAAUCCUUUGAUCUAUUGAUGACCACCUGUGGCGAAGGCGGUCUACCAGAACACGUUCGACGGUGAGGGACGAAAGCUGGGGGAGCAAACCGG